rnacentral:tRNA from 6 species
GCCCCGAUAGCUCAGUGGUAGAGCACUUCCUUGGUAAGGAAGAGGUCUCGAGUUCAAUCCUCGAUCGGGGCU